ensembl:lncRNA
GUCUCAGUAGGAUCUGCAUCAGACAGAAAAGUUGAGAAACUUAAGAAAAAUUUGUUGUCUAUUAAUAAUAAGUCGUAGCUAAUAAAACAUUAGCUAAAGGUAGCAAAUAAUAAACUUUAAAAAUGCAAUGUUGUGCCUCUGAGCACUGAAUAUUCUUAAGGUUAAAGGGUUUCCAGUGUUUGCUCUACAGUUAGUUUGUUGUGGUCUGGGUGGUCAGUGUGGUCAGGGUGAUCUGGGUGGUCAGGGUGAUCUGGGUGAUCUGGGUGGUCAGGGUGAUCUGGGUGGUCUGGGUGAUCUGGGUGAUCUGGGUGAUCUGGGUGGUCAGUGUGGUCUGGGUGAUCUGGGUGGUCAGUGUGGUCUGGGUGGUCAGGGUGAUCUGGGUGAUCUGGG